GAUCCUGGCUCAGAUUGAACGCUGGCGGCGUGCUUAACACAUGCAAGUCGCGCGUGAAAGGACUUCGGUCCGAGUAAAGCGGCGCACGGGUGAGUAACGCGUGGAUGAUCUACCCAUGAGUUAGGAAUAACGGCUGGAAACGGUCGCUAAUACCAAAUACGCUCCGAUUUCAACUUCGGGGGGAAAGGUGGCCUCUGCUUGCAAGCUACUGCUCAUGGAUGAGUCCGCGUCCCAUUAGCUAGUUGGUGGGGUAACGGCCCACCAAGGCGACGAUGGGUAGCCGGUCUGAGAGGAUGACCGGCCACACUGGGACUGGAACACGGCCCAGACUCCUACGGGAGGCAGCAGUGGGGAAUAUUGCGCAAUGGGCGAAAGCCUGACGCAGCGACGCCGCGUGAGGGAUGAAGGUCCUCGGAUCGUAAACCUCUGUCAGGAGGGAAGAACCGCCACGGUGCUAAUCAGCCGUGGUCUGACGGUACCUCCAAAGGAAGCACCGGCUAACUCCGUGCCAGCCGCAGC
rnacentral:rRNA from 1 species